UCAAGCUACUAAGGGCUCAUGGUGAAUGCCUAGGUGUGCAGAGGCGAUGAAGGACGUUGUAGGCUGCGAAAAGCCUCGGGGAGCGGCCAAACACGCUUUGAUCCGAGGAUCUCCGAAUGGGGCAACCCAUCAGUGCCGCGCAAGCGGACACUGUUACUCCGGUCUGAAUGUAUAGGGCCGGUAGAGCGAACGUGGGGAACUGAUACAUCUCAGUACCCACAGGAAAGGAAAUCAACCGAGACUCCGUCAGUAGCGGCGAGCGAAAGCGGACUAGCCCAACAGCCGUCGUAAGCAGAGUCGAACGUCCUGGAACGGGCGACCACAGAAGGUGACAGUCCUGUAGGCGGACGCAAGCGACGGUGAACGAGUAGGUCGGAGCUCGUGGAACUCUGACUGAACAUGCGGGGACCACCCUGCAAGGCUAAGUACUCCUGCACGACCGAUAGUGGACCAGUAAGGCGACUGAAAGGUGAAAAGCACCCCUUCUAGGGGAGUUAAAAGUACCUGAAACCAUGUGCCUACAAGCUGUAGAAGGGCGAUCACGCGCUUGCGCGUGCGCCUGACUGCGUACCUCUUGGAUAAUGGACCGGCGACUUGGCGUAUACGGCAAGGCUAAGGGCUUACGGCCCGGAGCCGGAGCGAAAGCGAGUCUGAAUAGGGCGAUUGAGUCGUAUGUGCCAGACCCGAAACCACGUGAUCUACCCAUGGCCAGGUUGAAGGAAGGGUAAAACCUUCUGGAGGACUGAAGCCGUUAACGUUGAAAAGUUAUGGCAUGAGCUGUGGGGAGGAGUAAAAGUCUAAUCAAACGUGGAGAUAUCUGGUUCUCUCCGAAAUGUCUUUUGGGACAGCCUCGGGACAACUACGUUGCGGGGGUAGAGCUACUGAAUGAGACGCUGGGCCUUUCCGGCUACAGCCCUCAAUCAAACUCCGAAUACCGCAACGACUAUCCCGGGAGUGAGUAUGUGGGCGCUAAUGUUCACGUACAAAAGGGAAACAACCCACACCGCCGGCUAAGGCCCCUAAAUGACGCUGAGUGCGUAAGGAAGUCUGUUUUCUGCGACAGCCAGGAUGUUGGCUUAGAAGCAGCCACCAUUUAAAAAGUGCGUAAUAGCUUACUGGUCGAGAAGAUAGGCGCCGAUAAUGAUUGGGACUAAGCGUCAUGCCGAAGCCGCGGGGUCUGGAAACUAGAAACUAGACACUAGAAACUAGAGGCGCAUUCGAUGCCGUUUCACAAUCUCGACGUAUACCGCAAGGCCUAUGACCUCUCGUUGGCGAUGCACAAACGGUCGCUGGCGUUCCCGUCGCUCGAGCAGUACGAGCUGGCGUCGCAGUUGCGGCGUUCCAGCAAGUCCAUCUGCGCGAAUAUCGGGGAGGGAAUGGGCAAGCAAGCCUCCGCCAGGGACGUGCUCAAGUUCCUGCGGACGGCCCUGGGGUCAUGCGACGAGACGCGGAUCUGGAUCGAAUACGCGCGCGACCUCGGCUAUUGUACGGCCGAGGAAUCCGCGAAGCUCCUCGACGGCUACUGCGAGGUCGGCCGCAUGCUGAACGGACUGAUCAAGAACUGGUCAGCCCGAGCGGCGGCGGCGCAAGAGCAGCGGCGCGGUCGCGGUCUUUCUAGUCUCUAGUCUCCAGUUUCUAGUUUCUGGACCGGUAGGAGAGCGUAGCACGCGAGAUACAAGCCAUACCGUAAGGAGUGGUCAAGGCGCGUGCUAGUGAGAAUGCCGGUAUGAGUAACGAUAAAGCGGGUGAGAAUCCCGCUCGCCGUAAGCCCAAGGUUUCCUGGGGAAGGUAAAUCCGCCCAGGGUUAGUCGGAGCCUAAGGUGAGGCCGAAAGGCGUAGCUGAUGGUCAGCAGGUUAAUAUUCCUGCACUCCGUAUGAGGUUGAACCGACGGGGACGCGAUGCUGUAAGCGUGCAGCGCGAUGAGAAACGCGCAGGCCCGAUUUGUUGGUCGUGCACGUGGAGGCGUCGCCGAGAAAAACCGUUCGGGGACAAAAUGCGGAUCCGUACCAAAACUGACACAGGUGGGCGAGGAGCGUAUCCUAACGGCGCUCGAGGGAACGGUCCUUAAGGAACUAGGCAAUUUUACCCCGUAACUUCGGGAUAAGGGGUCCCUCUCUCCUUCGGGAGAAGGGCGCAGAGAAACGGCUCUGGGAACUGUUUAUCAAAAACACAGGUCUGUGCAAACUCGUAAAGAGGACGUAUACAGACUGACGCCUGCUCGGUGCCGGAAGGUUAAGGAAGUCGGUCAGCCGCAAGGCGAAGCUGGCGACCGAAGCCCCGGUUAACGGCGGCCGUAACUAUGACGGUCCUAAGGUAGCGAAGUUCCUUGUCGGGUAAGUUCCGACGCGCAUGAAUGGCGUAAUCACUGGAGUAGUGUCUCAAGGACCGACUCGGUGAAAUUGAAGUCGCGGUGAAGAUACCGUGUACCCGCAGCAAGACGGAAAGACCCCGUGAACCUUUACUGUAGCCUGAUAUUGAUAACGGUUAUCGCAUGCGUAGGAUAGGUGGGAGGCGUUGAUCCUUCGGUUCCGGCCGGAGGGGAGCCAACGUUGAAAUACCACCCUUGUGCUAUUCGUUGUCUAACCUCGUCCCGUGAAGCCGGGCGAGGGACAGUGUUAGGUGGGCAGUUUGACUGGGGCGGUCUCCUCCCAAAAGAUAACGGAGGAGUGCAAUGGUCGGCUCAGCACGGUUGGCAAUCGUGCGUCGAGUGCAAGGGCAUAAGCCGGCUUAACUGUAAGACAUAAAGGUCAAGCAGACACGAAAGUGGGCCCUAGUGAUCCGGUGAUCCCGUGUGGAAGGGUCAUCGCUCAACUGAUAAAAGGUACUCCGGGGAUAACAGGCUGAUGACUCCCGAGCGUCCAUAGCGGCGGAGUCGUUUGGCACCUCGAUGUCGGCCCAUCACAUCCUGGGGCUGAAGGCGGUCCCAAGGGUUCGGCUGUUCGCCGAUGAAAGUGGUACGCGAGCUGGGUUCAGACCGGCGUGAGCCAGGUCGGUCCCUAUCUGCUGUGGGCGUAUGAGUCUUGAGAGGCCAUCACUCUAGUACGAGAGGAUUGGGUGGUACAUGCCUCUGGUGCACCUGUUGUCACGCUAGUGGCACGGCAGGGUAGCUAAGCAUGGACUGGAUAAACGCUGAAGGCAUCUAAGCGUGAAGCCGUCCUCAAGAUCAGGACUCAGUGCUCCCCUUCGGGGUGAGCUAAAGACCCCUCAUAGACCAUGAGGUUGAUAGGCCGGGUGUGUAAGGGAAGAGAUUCCUUCAGCUUACCGGUACUAACGGUCGAAGGCUUGACCGC
rnacentral:rRNA from 1 species